rnacentral:tRNA from 1 species
GAGAGUAUACCUCACUGGCAGAGUGUGUGCUUAGCAUGCAUGAGGUCCUGGGUUCAAUCCCUAGUAAUUCCA